rnacentral:rRNA from 1 species
UGGGGAAUAUUGCACAAUGGGGGAAACCCUGAUGCAGCCAUGCCGCGUGUGUGAAGAAGGCCUUCGGGUUGUAAAGCACUUUCAGCGAGGAGGAAAGGUUGGCAGCUAAUACCUGUCAGCUGUGACGUUACUCGCAGAAGAAGCACCGGCUAACUCCGUGCCAGCAGCCGCGGUAAUACGGAGGGUGCAAGCGUUAAUCGGAAUUACUGGGCGUAAAGCGCACGCAGGCGGCUUGUUAAGUCAGAUGUGAAAGCCCCGGGCUCAACCUGGGAACUGCAUUUGAAACUGACAAGCUAGAGUCUUGUAGAGGGGGGUAGAAUUCCAGGUGUAGCGGUGAAAUGCGUAGAGAUCUGGAGGAAUACCGGUGGCGAAGGCGGCCCCCUGGACAAAGACUGACGCUCAGGUGCGAAAGCGUGGGGAGCAAACA